AGGUGCUGCGGGUGCCGGGGGAGAGCUGGCACCGUCUGGAGAGUCAGAACUCCAAAGAAGAGGCUCGGUGUCAGAGGCCGGGGAGGUGGAGGCCUCAGAGUUCCCAAGACAGAACAUAAAGAAAGAUG